rnacentral:rRNA from 1 species
GACAGAGGGUGCAAACGUUGUUCGGAAUUACUGGGCGUAAAGCGUGUGUAGGCGGUCUUGUAAGUCGGAUGUGAAAGCCCCGGGCUCAACCCGGGAAGUGCACUCGAUACUGCGAGACUUGAGUAUCGGAGAGGUUGGUGGAAUUCUCGGUGUAGAGGUGAAAUUCGUAGAUAUCGAGAGGAACACCGGUGGCGAAAGCGGCCAACUGGACGAAUACUGACGCUGAGACACGAAAGCGUGGGGAGCAAACAGG